CCUCUUCUGAAAAAAUGGUUGGCGGAGUUUGUUAUAUUUCUGUUCUACCUUCAAAAUCUCCUCACUGGCUUGUUCAUUAAGUCUUAAGCAAAUGAAAAUAGAU